rnacentral:rRNA from 1 species
CAAAACGACUCUGGGCAACGGAUAUCUGGGCUCUCGCAUCGAUGAAAAACGUAGCGAAAUGCGAUACUUGGUGUGAAUUGCAAAAUCCCGUGAACCAUCGAGUCUUUGAACGCAAGUUGCGCCCGAAGCCAUUAGGCCGAGGGCACGUCUGCCUGGGCGUCACA